UGCCCUAGUAACGGCGAGUGAAGCGGCAACAGCUCAAAUUUGAAAUCUGGCUCUUUUAGAGUCCGAGUUGUAAUUUGCAGAGGGCGCUUUGGCUUUGGCAGCGGUCCAAGUUCCUUGGAACAGGACGUCACAGAGGGUGAGAAUCCCGUACGUGGUCGCUAGCUAUUGCCGUGUAAAGCCCCUUCGACGAGUCGAGUUGUUUGGGAAUGCAGCUCUAAAUGGGAGGUAAAUUUCUUCUAAAGCUAAAUAUUGGCCAGAGACCGAUAGCGCACAAGUAGAGUGAUCGAAAGAUGAAAAGCACUUUGGAAAGAGAGUCAAACAGCACGUGAAAUUGUUGAAAGGGAAGCGCUUGCAGCCAGACUUGCUUGCAGUUGCUCAUCCGGGCUUUUGCCCGGUGCACUCUUCUGUAGGCAGGCCAGCAUCAGUUUGGGCGGUGGGAUAAAGGUCUCUGUCACGUACCUCUCUUCGGGGAGGCCUUAUAGGGGAGACGACAUACCACCAGCCUAGACUGAGGUCCGCGCAUCUGCUAGGAUGCUGGCGUAAUGGCUGUAAGCGGCCCGUCUUGAAACACGGACCAAGGAGUCUAACAUCUAUGCGAGUGUUUGGGUGUCAAGCCCGAGCGCGUAAUGAAAGUGAACGGAGGUGGGAACCCGCAAGGGUGCACCAUCGACCGAUCCUGAAGUUUACGGAAGGAUUUGAGUAAGAGCAUGGCUGUUGGGACCCGAAAGAUGGUGAACUAUGCUUGAAUAGGGUGAAGCCAGAGGAAACUCUGGUGGAGGCUCGCAGCGGUUCUGACGUGCAAAUCGAUCGUCAAAUUUGGGCAUAGGGGCGAAAGACUAAUCGAACUAUCUAGUAGCUGGUUCCUGCCGAAGUUUCCCUCAGGAUAGCAGUAACGUAUUCAGUUUUAUGAGGUAAAGCGAAUGAUUAGAGGCAUGGGGGUUGAAACAACCUUCACCUAUUCUCAAACUUUAAAUAUGUAAGAAGCCCUUUGUUACUUAAUUGAACGCGGGCAUUUGAAUGAAACGUUAUUAGUGGGCCAUUUUUGGUAAGCAGAACUGGCGAUGCGGGAUGAACCGAACGAGGGGUUACGGUGCCGGAGUACACGCUCAUCAGACACCACAAAAGGUGUUGGUUCAUCUAGACAGCAGGACGGUGGCCAUGGAAGUCGGAAUCCGCUAAGGAGUGUGUAACAACUCACCUGCCGAAUGAACUAGCCCUGAAAAUGGAUGGCGCUCAAGCGUGUCACCUAUACCCCUCCGCCGGGGCAAAAUUUACGCCCCGGCGAGUAGGCAGGC
rnacentral:rRNA from 1 species